AGAUAUUUUUUAGAGCCCCAGGAGAUGGGGCACUGGCCUUCACCUCUGCCCUGAAUUUAUGAUCUACUGAAUGUCCUCACUUACGGGGAAACAGACAUCAAUCACGAGGAAUUUUAUUUUCAUAAUAAGACCAGGAGUAAAGGAGAUUCAAGCCUUUUUUUAAAUUCCUAGGGAAAAUAUAAAAAGUGAAUGAAAGAUGCAAAACCCAGAAUGGGGGGAAGAGAGGGAGAACUUUCUGGUAUUGGACUGGGAUGAGAGCAAUAUGAAUUUGUGAUCUUGAAAAACCUGUUUCCUAGCUCUGUCCAUGGGAAAGGCCCUAGAAACGAUGACACCCUGUAACAAGGAACACAGCAGAGUCCAGACCUUGGUUACCAACUCUCAUUCUCCCCUAAACGUAACCAGGGCUCCUUGGCCGAGCUUGGGACCUCUGGUUGUGCCAGCAUAUGAGGAAGAACUCAGAUGGUGUCGAAAGGACACAGCAACCAGCUUGAGAGGGCUCUCAUCCCAAUUUGGGAUAAUCCGAGCAUCAAAAUGAGUAAGUCAGGGAUGGAUUGCUUAUAAUACGUGUGAUGCUAAUUUUUAAAAUCCCUGAAUCUAGACCGAUACCAUUACUACUAUUAAUAAUAAUGAAAUGAAAACUAUUUUAAAGGGAAGGGUAGGCAGGAAAGCUCUUCUUUAUAACAGAAUGCCAACCAAUAAAUGUUGAAAGGAUGGCAGAAAUGUACGCUGCCAUUUUUUAGCACCAUGAGUGUUCCAGUCAAGAAUCAUCAAUCCAUGCUAAAACCACUGCAUAAAAGAUUACUGGGGACAAGAGUACUUUUAUUCACAUUUUGUGAAUGAUCCCAAAGGAUCCGCACAGAUACAUUUUUUAAAUGUUUAAUUUUUUUUGAGGGAGGGAGGGGCAGAGAGGGGGAGAGAGAGGAUCUCAAGCAGGCUCCACCCUAUGAACAAGGAGCUCGACUCGGGGCUUGAUCCCACGCACCGUGAGACCGUGACCUAAGCCAAAAUCAAAAGUUAGACACUUAACCAACUGGGCCACCCAAGGGGCCCCCACACAGAUGCAUUUUUAAUUGCAAAGGGGAAAAGUUAUCUUUGUAAGUGAACCAAAUGACUGAAGUUAUUUAACAUCACUGCUAAAGGGACAAGCGGAUAUCUUAGUCUGUUGAUGUAACACCAGUAAGAAGGACGCAUAUCACGCAUGCUGUGUUCUUGCCAAAAAUGUUAAACUUCAAUCUAAGAAGGAAACAAUCAGGCAAUUCCAGAUCGAGGGGCCUCCUGCAAAAGAAGUGGCCAGGGUCUUCACAAAUAUCAGUAUCAUUAAAAUAACUAUAAAUAAGAUGCAGAACUCUUCUAGAUAAAAAGAGACUUCUAGAUAAAUGUGUGACACGUGAUGGGAUCCUAGAUACAAAAAGAAAAAAGAAUCUACAAGAGACACUACCGAGAUGAUCCAAAUAUGGACCAGCCGCUAGUAACAGUCUGGUGUCCGUGUUCAGUUUCCAACUAGCUGAUAAGUAUAUCGUGAUAAUUUAAGAGAAUGUUCUCGUUCUUGGGAAGAACAUGCUGACGCAUUUGGGGAUGGUGUCAUGAUGUCUGCAGCUGGUUAUUUGACAUCAACAAAAUCAACUGAGGAACUAACAGGGUAAAAUGCAACAGCGGGUGACUCUCGGUGAUACAGGUCGUUCUCUAUGCCAUUCUUGAAACUUUUCGGAAGGCUGGACAUUUUUUAGAGCAGAAAGAGACAGAAAUGAAAAUUUCCCCAGGCCAGCAGUCCCUUGCCUUCACACGCCUUGACGUUCCUAACAAGCAAUCAAGGCUCGGCGGACCAGGAAACUGUAUUUCUGACUCAUCAAACACCUACAAGUCGAAGUUGGUAUGUUUGUGUAGAAACACAAAUACAAUACGUAUGAAAUUAACAGGACAAGUCUCUGGCAAGUGAGUCACUAAGUCCCAGGUGUUUUAUCCAGUGUUUGACACAGAGGGAUCCUUCCCGUCUGCUUACGAGCCAUCUCUCCCGAGCAGGGCGGCCCUUCCCUCUUCCGGAGGCCAGUGUACAAACACACACCGAGUGUCGGGGAGAGUCAAGUGACUCAGGAAGGAGGGCGGAUUCUGCAAUUUCUGUUUCAAAACAAAGAACACCACGGACAUGGGUUAUUAGGAGGCCAAGUGGGUCAGAGAGGUCUCCUGACAUCUCGGCCUCCUUUUGGCCAGUUCUGCCCCGAUGCCUCUCUGGCUGUCGCUUAAGCAGCCAGCGUCUCCUCUGUUGCGGGAGGCCGGCAAAGCCUGUGUGGUCCGUUCGUUCAACAGACGUCUGCAGCGGUCCUCACACCUUCUAGGGGACACCUGCUACCGCUCAUCUUUGUCGCCCUGCAUAGCGCAGGGCCACCCUCUCCCGAGGCUCCAUUCCCUUUUUAAUGUCCACCUGACACUCUAGGUCAUUGGGACGGAGGAGGGUAUUCCCAGCUAGGAUAACAGGACACGAUCGAAGCAACGUACAGCAAGCGGUGUGGAACCCAACGCGGUCUCCCUCUGAAAAAUAAGUUCAACUACACAUAAAGACGUAAAGGCUGGGAGUUCCAUGAACCAGUCAGCCGCAAAGGACUUCGGGAAAGCUGCAGGCCUUCCGGGCUUCUAUUCCUUCUAUUCCUCCCUCACUCAGCACAUCAGCCUCCCCUGACCACCCCCUUCACGCGAUCCUUGUAAGGAAGCACAACAAGAUUCUGAUGCACUUUGAAAUUUUAAUCAUGAAUGGAGAAUUAAAGAAUCUCGAGUCAGAGAAUGCCAUUCUUUGAGGAAUCUUACGGCACCGGAGUAUUAACGUUCCCAUAAAUUAAUUCCCCCAACCCACAGUUUUUGAUCAUCUGCCAGGCCCUCGGCUGGACAGGAGGAGCACUGCCCAGGGAGUUUACAGUCAAGUUGGGGAGACGGAAUGAACACAAAUUAUAGCACAAGAACCAUGAUUACCUCCCGCUGUGAGACUGUGAGGCUGUAAGGCAGACGGUGGCUUGAAGAGUGAGGCCUUGCAAAUGGGGAGCAAACACACCAAAGGAGGGAGCUAUUGAGAAAAGGCAGAGCUGGGAGAGAGAGGGUGUGCCCAAGGAAAGGCAGGCCAUGAGGCUGUUAAUGCAAAGAACUGGAGGAGCGCCUGGAUGGCCCAGUCGGUUAAGCAUCCGAGUCUUGGUUUUGGCUGAGGUCACGAUCUCACGGUCUGUGGGUUCGAGCUCACAGCACAGACCCUGCUUGGGAUUCUCUCUCUCUCUCCCUCUGCCCCUCCCUCCUGCUCAUUCACUCCCUCUCUUUCUCUCUCUCUCUUAAAUAAACAUUAAAAAAAGAAUGGGAAAACAGUGUUUUCAGGGGCAAAGACACAGUAACGAAGAUGUAAGGGGAAUAAAAUCUUGAGAAGGUAAACUUUUCCUGAGGAAGAUAGUACCUUUCCUCUAGAUCAUAUAGAUAACCCAGUCUCGAAUUUACAGAGGAGAAAAUCAUCCAGACCAAGGGAUUUAGGAGCUAAACUUACACCUCCACUCUGACCCAGCAAGACCACGAAGUGGAUGCUUUUAUCAACCAAAAGACAGGUACAACAGAGUGUUCAUGGUGGCUCCGAACAGAACGACCCCAAACCCGAAGCAACCCAAAGGUCCAACAACAACAACAGAAGGGACACGAUGAGUCAUGUAUGAAUCUGUUGAAUCACUAUCUUAUACACCUGAAAAUAAUAUAAUGCCGUAUGUUAACUAUACUGGAAUUAAAAAAUUUUU